rnacentral:rRNA from 1 species
CUAGCGACUUCAGAGUUUGAUCCUGGCUCAGGACGAACGCUGGCGGCGUGCCUAACACAUGCAAGUCGAACGGGGUAUUUCUUCGGAGAUACUUAGUGGCGAACGGGUGAGUAACGCGUGAGAAACCUGCCUUUCAGUGGGGGACAACAGUUGGAAACGACUGCUAAUACCGCAUAAUGUUAUUUAAGGGCAUCCUUGAAUAACCAAAGCUUUAUGUGCUGAAAGAUGGUCUCGCGUCUGAUUAGCUAGUUGGUGAGGUAACGGCUCACCAAGGCGACGAUCAGUAGCCGGUCUGAGAGGAUGAACGGCCACAUUGGGACUGAGAUACGGCCCAG